UUCCCUGGGCAGCCUGUGCCAGUGCAUAACCACUCCUUCUGAGAAUAAAUGUUUCCUAAUAUCCAACCUGCAACUCCCCCAGUGCAACUUCAGGCUAUUGCCCCUCAUCCUAUCACUGUUACCAGCAAGAAGAGGCCAACCCCAACUCGUUGCAACCUCUUUUCAGGGAGUUGUAGAGAGUGAUCAAGUCUCCUAUGAGCUUCCUACAGACUAAGCAAUCUCAGAAUAUUUUACUUCGCAAGCAGGAGGAGCAAGAGAAGCCCUCUCCCUGCCGACCCACCAGCAGCACUGUCCUCCUGUCCUGCUGCAGGGUCAGAUCCUCCACAGGAGCUGCAUCCCAGCAUGAGCACACUGCAACUCAUUCAGCUUUCAAAAAUGAUUUGCAGAGCACAGUUUUUACUGUUUGACCUUUGGGUCGCAGCCUUUCCCCAUUGUGCACACACACCAUUCUUCUGCAAAGCAAACAGCCGUUUUUCUUCACUGAAGGGAUAAAGGCAAAAAUUUACUCCCAGAGAGAAAGGGGAACUUUUCCCAUCCUUUUUACUGCCCUUUUGUGAUGCUGGCACUAAGCCAACUCGCUGUGUUUUUCCUUUCUUUCCUACAGAUUUGUGAAUUUUAUGGUUUUUUUUUUCCACGCAGCUCCAGAGAAAAAGGAUCGCCAUGUCUUAACAUCCUGUUCACUAAAGCCCUAGAAAGGUGAAUCAAAUAUAUGACAGAGAGUUUUAUAAGGAUUGAAUACCCACUGUAUCUCAGCACAGUAAUAGCCUGUUAAAAUUCUCUUUGCUACCAUAUCUUCAGAAAUAUGAAAGGAAAAUCUUUCAACAGCCUCAUUCCCUCUGACUCCAAUCUACAUCGUGUUGUGAAGGAUAGGUGCCAGAUAAAUGCAUUGGUGGAAACAAAGAUAAGAAGGAUGUGCAUCCCAUCAACAGUUACAUUGCCUGAAUUAUGUUCUGAGACAGACACAGUGACAAUAACAGGACAGUGUUAAUAGAGUGAGUGGUUAAAUUACCUGCCUGGUAUCUUUCAAAGAGAUCAAGUUGCAUUUCAUUGCUGGAGAAUUCCUAAUCAAGAACAAGUGCAUUAUCUCAGAAUCUUCCGUCUGACAAUACAACACAGUGGGCAUCUCACAAGAAGAAGUUAAUUUAAGUGGUGCCUUUGUGCACUUCACAAAAGGGGUUGGAUUGAAAACAGGACGUUGAAGUAAUCUCUUUGCUGAAAAACAGAAUGAUAAUUCCAAGAAGCUUUCAAUGUUUUGGGUCUAUCUGCUCUUGGUAUAUCUUUAAGACAAAAGAUUUGUGCCUAAGGUGCAAUUCAACAUUUUUGCUUUGAUUUCUAUUUUUUCAUGUUCCCAUCAAAGGCACCUGAAUCUUUCUUCAACCCACAGCUGGCACAUUGGUUUCAAAGCUGGUAGAAUUACUUCUAGGCAUGAUAGAAACUUCUUCCACCUGUCUGCCCUAAGAGCUUCACACCUGCAACUGCCACUCCACCUGGCAUUCACUCAUUGAGUGUUUGCUCUACAUCUUCAGAAAAAUAAAAUCUACUCAGACGUGCCUUGAACGAUGACAGUGUCUCCCCAGAGCACCAUGCCCUGAGAAGGGGACUCUUAUGAGACCGUGUUACAACUUCCAUCAGUGUGCUGUAGGGAAUGGAGCAAGUACAGCAUUUCUUGUGAAGUCAUAGAAUCAUAGAACCGUUUGAGUUGGAAGAGACCUAUGAAGGCCAUCUAGACUGACUCCCCUGCAAUGAACAGCAACACCUAUAGCUCUAUUAGAUACUCAGAGCCCUGUCCAGCCUGACCUUGAGUCCUAGCCUCCCAAGCAGACAGAGACUGCACUGUGGUCCCACUUCAUGUUUAGGGCCUCUCUGAUCAUCGCUUCAUUGGUUUUCAUAGGUCUUUGUUCUUGUAGAGUGUUGGUACAAGCUAUUUCAGAGAUCCUUGGCUAGAGAGAGCAGAAAAAGUAGCCCUUCUUAACCCAGUUUACUUGACAGUUUCCAUAACAACUUGACACAGCUAUUUAUAUAGCUGGGAAUAUCAUUUGCGUUUCAUCAUUUUUAGAACCUUUGUUGCCAUAUCAACCUAACUGCCAUGUAGCAGAGUACAGCCCCAUUCAAUUCUCUCUUGUUUUCUCAGAAGCUUCUCUCUCAAUGAACUGAAAUUUAGAUGGGCCCCUGAGAGGCCCACAUGCCUCUUACUAUAUUGUUCAAUCCCUAAUUAAAUAGGCUUGUGCCUAUGUGACCUAUCUGCAGCACAGCAGUAGGCUCCCUGAUCUGGUGGGGGCAACCAGCGCAUGGCAGGGUGUUGGAGACAGGUGGGAUUUAAGGUCUUUUCCAACCUAAGACAUUCUGUGAUUCUAUAAGAACCUGUGAUAGGAUGGCAAGAUGAGGACAGAGCAGACAGUCAGACCAAAAAUGAUUGCAGAUUGCCUACUGUAGCAGAAAUGCAAAGUCAUGGCUUGGACCAGUGAUUGAGCACCUGGUGGGAAAGCAGGGUCCACCCAGGGAAGCUCAGGUGCAAGCAAUGCACCAGAGUGAAUGGAAGGGAUGGAGCCAGGAUCCACUCUUUCCAGACCUUAUUUAAAGGUUGGCAGUGGAGGUAAGGGUAUCUUAUUGGAGAUCCCUGAGUACUUGAGGCCUUACAAAGGACAUUCUUGGUAGGAUCUUGGAAAUUACCAGCCUGGUGCCUCUAACUGUGACCUCAGACAGUGCUGGGAGCAUUCUUUGCUUGUCUGCAGGCACCUGGAGGAUGGGAAACUGGCUGCUGGAAAGAAAUGGCUUUAGCCCUUUUGUGAAGCCCUAUUUGAAGCACUGAAGUCUCUCCCACCCAGCCCUCCCUAUGUCUGAUGCUUUUAUAAUGGAAAAAAUACAGAUAAUAAUAGAAAACUAAAAGACAACUGGAAGUAAUGAGCUCUACCUUAUGCUUGCUUCUUUGUCCUGUGAAGCCCAGGUCUGGAGGCAUAGAUGUAAAUGCCAUUAUGAGUCUCUUCCAAGAGCUGGGGCAAAUUGCAAGGAUGAGGUUUUCAAUGUUGUGAUUUAGACCAAAUUCUUCAGAAAAUCUGACUGUGAGUUACAUGCCCCUAUUCGCCAUCCUUUGAAGAAGGCUUAAUUUGGAAGAAAAAAAAAGUUUAAGUAACCAAGUAAUUCACAGUGGCUUCAGCAACUACUGAGAAACUGAAGAUCUGAUAUCUCAGGAGGUGUGAGGAAGAUCUGUGCCAAAUGUCACUUAUGGAAUAUGUUGGUUUAAGUUCAUCAUAAAAUAAAAAAAAAAGCUAAUUUUUUUUUUGUAUCAUUUUAUAUUGGUACAGUACCUGCCUUUGGGAUUUUUUUUAAAGAUUUGAAUUUGCUUUUCAAAAACAUGAAUGCUGCCAAGUUUUACUAAAGGACAAGAGCCUGCUGCCUUGCUGUCCCAGGGGAUUUGGAUGAAAGGCUCCUGCCAAGAAUUUCAGCCUUAGGAGAGACUUCUGCAAGAUUAUUUCCAGAUAUGAAACCCUUUUCCUGCUGUGCUGUUGAGCCCUCCCUGUCCAACAUUUCAUGGUGACUGCUGAUAAUGAGAGCGCAAAGGCCUCCCUCCCAACCAUUAACUACAACAGCUGAUCCAAGCAGUGCUUUCCGGCUUUUAUGGAGAAGAAUGAGUGACUUGUGCGUUCUUGUGAGAAACUAUUUAGACACCAGAUCCAGCACCUAUAGGUUUUUAUGGAAACAGAAUGUAGAUUCUUAUCAGCCUCCAUUUAUUUUGCAAGUAAUGACAAAUGAAUUCCUUAGAAACUCACUCCUGGCAAUCCCAGAGCACAGAAUUGCGUGGCUUUGAAAAUGCUUCGAGGCAUGGUGGUCAGAGGCACGUACUCUGAGGGCCACACUCUGCCUGAUGCCAGCUGCAGAAGAUGUUGCCAGGAUGCUAGAGGAGAGAAUGAGAGUGUGAUGGAUGGGGAAGGACCACCACAACGAUCAGGCUUCUUGAUAGUUGAUAUAUAUUGUGAGGUGUGAGCUGGAAGGAUACUCAGUGUGGGGUGGUGUAAGUAAGUAGUUAGACUUUCAGAGCCUGAUAAGAUUGCUUAUCUUAUCUAGGCCAUCUUCUGUCUAAUGUAGGAAUUUUUCCUUUUUGUACAUUUUCCAAUAUGUUAAAGCUCACUGGAUGUAAGCAUUUCCCAUAGGAAGUCCUUCACAAGUGACUUGCUUUCCCUGCCAGGAGCUCUCGCAGUCUGCAACUAGAGCCCUGCAGACAGAUCUUCUCGAUAGGAAAAGAGAAGUAGGUCCCAAUAUACAGGGGAUUCCUGCUAAAACUGGCCUGCAGCCUUGCUCACCUCCCACCCAGCAUUCUGGCAAAUUCUUCCAAGGCUCCCUGAGCAGACAUUUCUCCUUUCAUCAGCACUGAGUGCAGAGGGGAAGCAGUCAAUCCAGGAAGGCACAAAGCAGUAAGUCAACCUAUUUAUACUUAACAAGAGUCAGGCACCUUCCCCUCCUACAGUGCCUGUUCACACUCAUUUACUAUGUGACCUAUGGGCUCUUCGUGCUCUGCUCCAGCCAUUUCUGUGCACCCCCUUAUAACCCUGCUACUAGGGACUGUGAGAUCCCAGGCACAAUAAAACAGCUUCUAAUAAAGGUUUAUACAAUUCAAGCCUCUCCUGGCUUGAAAAGCAGCUGUAGCCUCAGCUCAGAAGGAUACUGGCAAGUUCAUGCUCUCUCAUCAAACCCAUCUUGUGAACUUUGCGUAGAGCAUGGAUGUUGAUGCCACCCGGGGCCCCUUAAUGCUCUGCUCAUUGCAGAACUCAUUCAGGUGAAAAGCCCUAGAUCAGUAAGAAUUAUUCCCCUGAGAGGCUGAGUAGAUUAUUCUCCUCCACCCCUUUCCCCUCUUUUCCUCUCUUUGUUCCAGAGCACUGGUCAGCCCCUGGCUCACCACCCUCGCACACGUGCAUGCACAACCAAGCCAAGAAAGGAAAUGAAUCAUUUGUAAUGGGUGAUCACGGCUGUAGGAUUCUUAUCUUGAACAUGAACGUGCAAAUCUUCAGGAGCUACGCAGAGCCUGGCAAAGCAAAAGAAACCUUGGCCAGCUUAGGGAUUUGAAAAUAAGAUUUUCUGGGGGGUAGAAACCAGUCUGGUUUCUCAU